UACGGGGGGGGCAAGCGUUGUUCGGAAUUACUGGGCGUAAAGGGCUCGUAGGCGGCCAACUAAGUCAGACGUGAAAUCCCUCGGCUUAACUGGGGAACUGCGUCUGAUACUGGAUGGCUUGAAUCCGGGAGAGGGAUGCGGAAUUCCAGGUGUAGCGGUGAAAUGCGUAGAUAUCUGGAGGAACACCGGUGGCGAAGGCGGCGCUCUGGGCCGGUACUGACGCUGAGGAGCGAAAGCGUGGGGAGCAAACAGG
rnacentral:rRNA from 1 species